UUACACAUUCUAUAUACACUUUGUCUAAAUCAGUGGUUCUCAAAUGGGGGUACGCGUACCCCUGGGGGUACUUGAAGGUAUGCCAAGGGGUACGUGAGAUUUUUUUUAAAUAUUCUAAAAAUAACAACCAAAAAUCAUUUAUAUAUAUAUUUAUUGAAUAAUACUUCAAUAAAAUACGAAUGUAUUUAAUGUAUAUUCAGUGUUGACAGCUAGAUUUUUUGUGGACAUGUUCCAUAAAUAUUGAUAUUAAAGAUUUUUUUUUUUUGUGAAUAAAUGUUUAGAAUCAAGUUCAUGAAUCCAGAUGGAUCUCUUAUUACAAUCCCCAAAGAGGGCACUUUAAGUUGAUGAUUAUUUCUAUGUGUAUAAAUCUUUCUUUAUAAUUGAAUAACUUGUUUAUUUUUCAACAACUUUUUAGGUAUUUUUAUAUCUUUUUUUUCAAAAAGGUCAACAAAGACCAUUACAAAUGAGCAAUAUUUUGCACUGUUAUACAACUUAAUAAAUCAGAAACUGUUGACAUAGUGCUGUAUUUUACUUCUUUAUCUUUUUUUUUCAACCAAAAAGGCUUUGCUCUUAUUAAGGGGUACUUGAAUUAAAAAAAAUGUUCACAGGGGGUACAUCACUGAAAAAAAGGUUGAGAACCACUGGUCUAAAUCACAUUCCAUGGUAAUACCAAGGGUGCAUCUAAUGUUGUUUUUGUUUGCUCACUGUUUCUACACAUAUUAGCAUUUUUUUUCACAGGACAGUGGUGUCCAAACUUUUUGACAUGGGGUCGCAUUUGUCAAAAAAUUUUGGCCUGGGCUGAAAACCGAAUACAUGUAAAGUAACCAUAUAACGUACACACAUAUAUAGCAUAUACAUAUGAAUGUGUAUAUGUAUGUAUGUAUGUAUGUAUGUAUGUAUGUAUAUAUGUAUAUAUACAGUGGGGCAAAAAAGUAUUUAGUCAGCCACCGAUUGUGCAAGUUCUCCCACUUAAAAUGAUGACUGAGGUCUGUAAUUUUCAUCAUAGGUACACUUCAACUGUGAGAGACAUAAUGUGAAAAAAAAUCCAGGAAUUCAUAAUUUGGAAUUUUAAAUAAUUUAUUUGUAAAUUAUGGUGGAAAAAAGUAUUUGGUCAAUAACAAAAAUUCAACUCAAUACUUUGUAAUAUAACCUUUGUUGGCAAUAACAGAGGUCAAACCAUUACUAUAGGUCUUUACCAGGUUUGCACACACUGUAGCUGGUAUUUUGGCCCAUUCCUAUAUGCAGAUCUUCUCAAGAGCAGUGAUGUUAUGGGGCUUUCGCCGAGCAACACAGACUUUCAACUCCCUCCACAGAUUUUCUGUGAGGUUGAGGUCUGGAGACUGGCUAGGCCACUCCAGGACUUUCAAAUGCUUCUUACGGAGCCACUCCUUCUUUGCCGGGCGGUGUGUUUGGGAUCAUUGUCAUGCUGGAAUACCCAGCCACGUUUAAUCUUCGAAGCUCUCACUGAUGGAAGGAGGUUUUGGCUCAAAAUCUCACGAUACAUGGCCCCAGUCAUUCUUUCCUUAACACGGAUCAGUCGUCCUGUCCCCGAGCAGAAAAAAAGCCCCAUAACAUGAUGUUUCCACCCCCAUGCUUCACAGUACAAAUGGUGUUCUUGGGAUGCAACUCAGUAUUUUUCUUCCUCCAAACACGACAAGUUGAGUUUAUACCAAAAAGUUCUAUUUUGGUUUCAUCUGACCAUAUGACAUUCACCCAAUCCUCUGCUGUAUCAUCCAUCUGCUCCCUGGCAAACUUCAGACGGGCCUGGACAUGCACUGGCUUAAGCAGGGGUACGCGUCUGGCACUGCAGGAUUUGAUUCCCUGUCGGCUUAGUGUGUUACUGAUGGUAACCUUUGUUACUCUGGUCCCAGCUCUCUGCAGGUCAUUCACCAGGUCCCCUUGUGGGGUUCUGGGAUUUUUGCUCACCGUUCUCAUGAUCAUUUUGACCCCACGGGAUGAGAUCUUGCGUGGAGCCCCAGAUCGAGGGAGAUUAUCAGUGGUUUUAUUCACUCUUCCCAGUCUGGUGCAGGUCUACAAUUCCUUUCCUGGUGUCUUUCGACAGCUCUUUGGUCUUGGCCCUAGUGGAGUUUGGAGUCUGACUAUAUGAGGCUGUGGACAGGUGUCUUUUAUACAGAUAACGAGUUCAAACAGGUUCCAUUAAUACAGGUAACGAAGUUACAGGUCUGUGAGAACCAAAUACUUAUUUUCCACCAUAAUUUACAAAUAAAGUCUUUAAAAUUCC